GAUGAACGCUGGCGGCGUGCCUAAUACAUGCAAGUCGAGCGAACAGACGAGGAGCCUGCUCCUCUGACGUUAGCGGCGGACGGGUGAGUAACACGUGGAUAACCUACCUAUAAGACUGGGAUAACUUCGGGAAACCGGAGCUAAUACCGGAUAAUAUAUUGAACCGCAUGGAUCAAUAGUGAAAGACGGUUUUGCUGUCACUUAUAGAUGGAUCCGCGCCGCAUUAGCUAGUUGGUAAGGUAACGGCUUACCAAGGCAACGAUGCGUAGCCGACCUGAGAGGGUGAUCGGCCACACUGGAACUGAGACACGGUCCAGACUCCUACGGGAGGCAGCAGUAGGGAAUCUUCCGCAAUGGGCGAAAGCCUGACGGAGCAACGCCGCGUGAGUGAUGAAGGUCUUCGGAUCGUAAAACUCUGUUAUUAGGGAAGAACAAAUGUGUAAGUAACUAUGCACGUCUUGACGGUACCUAAUCAGAAAGCCACGGCUAACUACGUG
rnacentral:rRNA from 1 species